rnacentral:lncRNA from 12 species
UUUGUGGUUGCUCUCAGAACUAGUCUGAGACUAAGACAAAACCCUUGAAAGACAUCAUGGAUAGUAUUCACCUGUCCAAACAAUAAAUAACUGUUCUUAUUUGAGAUUUCAUAGGGUAUCUGAGACAUCUGCAAGGGGCUGGACAACAUGCUAUAACUGUAAAAAAAAGAGGAAUCUUUUAGAAACCAGAUGGAGGGUUGUCUUAUUCUUCCCAGGAGAGCUUCAGGUGCUCCUACUGCUUUAUACAUUUCAAGGCUUUCUGUCAUCAUAAAAAUCCAUUCGCAUCAACUACAUCACUGUCAUUA